GGAAUGGGCCAAGCCCAUUAGAAAGACUGGGCCGAAAGAUGUCGAAGGAUAGAGAUAUGUUUCGAGAUCCUUCGAACUGUAUGUCAUGUUUCGUGAUCUAGACUAAGUGUUUUAAUAAUAAUUCUAAUAUUAUUUUCUACCACAGCAAGUAAUCACAUAUAGGCAAAACGACAAUACGUUUCAUUAAAACACAACGCGUACAAUUUCAAGUCCACAAUCCAAACAACUAAACAGUCAAAGUCAACGCGCAUUUAAUGCGAAAGUGAAAGUCAGAAACUCGAGUUGUCACAUUAUCCCCAACUUA
rnacentral:lncRNA from 1 species